ACGAACGCUGGCGGCGUGCCUAAUACAUGCAAGUUGAGCGCUGAAGGUUGGUACUUGUACCAACUGGAUGAGCAGCGAACGGGUGAGUAACGCGUGGGGAAUCUGCCUUUGAGCGGGGGACAACAUUUGGAAACGAAUGCUAAUACCGCAUAAAAACUUUAAACACAAGUUUUAAGUUUGAAAGAUGCAAUUGCAUCACUCAAAGAUGAUCCCGCGUUGUAUUAGCUAGUUGGUGAGGUAAAGGCUCACCAAGGCGAUGAUACAUAGCCGACCUGAGAGGGUGAUCGGCCACAUUGGGACUGAGACACGGCCCAAACUCCUACGGGAGGCAGCAGUAGGGAAUCUUCAGCAAUGGACGAAAGUCUGACCGAGCAACGCCGCGUGAGUGAAGAAGGUUUUCGGAUCGUAAAACUCUGUUGGUAGAGAAGAACGUUGGUGAGAGUGGAAAGCUCAUCAAGUGACGGUAACUACCCAGAAAGGGACGGCUAACUACGUG
rnacentral:rRNA from 1 species